UAUCAUUAUGGCCAUUUAGAAUUGAGGUUGUUUACAUGAUGUUAGGGUUAGUGUUAAUUUAGGAUGGAGUCCAGCUAGGGUUAGAGUUGGUGGUGGCUGGAGUUAGGGUUUGGGUUAUUAGGGUUAAGGUUAUGAUCAUUGUUAAAGCUGAUGAGUUACCUGAAGAUUUAUCAUAAUGGCUUUUUUAAAGCAUGUUAAAAAUUAUCCAUAAGAAAAUUAGCUAGGUUUUUGUUGGUGGUGGUGGUUUUUGUAAUUUUUUGUUUGUUUUAGCGGGUGGUUUUUGUUGUUGAUAUUGUUAAACAAAUAAAGCUCAUGGUCCAGAAGCCCAGAUUGAAACACAGAGCAUCUCCGGAGCGCGCCUCACUCACCCGGACGUGGUGCCCUACUUCCUCCUGAUACAGCAGGAAGGAGAGCAGGCCGCCCCGGGUGACCUCCCCAGCUAGGAUCUGCUGCACGCCACAGUUCAGAAUCAGCACCUGCAUGCCCAAGGCCAUCACCUGGAAGGAAGGACAGAGGUCUCGGCGCCACCACAGCUGUCGACAUCGCUCCAGGGCCUCCUUGUAGCGGAUGACUUCCUGCUCCUCUGCCCCAAAGCUUCUGACAGUCUGCAACCCUCCUACGGCCUCGCGCACCACCUGCCCUGCCUUGGCCACUUCAUCCUGGAUCUUCUUUAGCACCGCCUGGAAACAGGGGGCAGCGGAUGGACGGACAAACCAGUGAAUGAGGCAGAACGCAACAGCAGGGGCUUCCCUCCAGCAAUUCACUGCCCGUGCCUUUCUUUCCAGAAGGAAUAUUUUCGGGGGGCGGGGGGAGGAAGGAGUGCUGGGGAGAUGGCUCUGUGGGUAAAGUACUUGACUCAGUGUGCCUCACACACACUCACAGGGUACGUGUGCACCUCACACACGCACAGGGUACAUGUGCACCUCACACACAAGCACGGAGCACAGGAAGUAGGGAACACACGUGAAUUGUUGAGCUCUCACGGUUAAGCACUGUGGGACAUGGAUGGGUGCUAUUCUGUUUAGCUUUCAUUUGAAGUGAAUUCUUGCACCUGAUGUCAUGUGAGGAGAGAAACAGAAUAGUCAAGAAAGAUGGAGAUCUGGCUGCCAAGGUGGCUCAGCUAUUUAGAGAGCAUUGCCGCUCUUCCAGAUGACCAGGGUGCAAUCCCCAGCACACAAACUGCGCUACACAAACACCUGUAACUGCAGCUCCAGAGAAUCACAGGCUGUCGUCUGGCCACUGCGGGCACACACACACACAAAUAAAUGUGUAAAUAAAAUAAA